GGGGGCGACUGGAUUCGACACGAUAGGUCUGAGGGAAGAAGCAGGCCGAGGUCUCCUCACCUCGUUAAACAGGGGUGCAGACGCUCAAGCGUCAACUCUGAUCUUGCUCUCGCUGCCUAACUAGCGCAGCGACGCCGAACCGGUGAGCGUCCCCGUCACCGGCGAGGCGCCGACUCAGGGGACUGCCGCAGCAGCAACGGGCGGGAGCGCUGCUGCGAAAGACCUGACCGCCAGGGCGUUUGGACGCGGGUCACCGGUGUCCCAGACGCUGACGACAACGGGUGACUGAGCCUGGAGAUGCUUCCCAGGGGUCUAUCGUGGACCGGAGUUCGAUUCUCCGCGCCUCCACCA
rfam:Coriobacteriaceae bacterium EMTCatB1 DNA, scaffold1.